rnacentral:sRNA from 3 species
AUAUCUUUCUGUACGGGAAGGAUGAGAAGCUUCGACUAAGGUUCGAUUCGAGCGCAGCGAGAAAGCGUUGCCGCAGGCAACGACCCGAAGGGCGAAGCGCGCAGCGCUGAGU